CCUACGGGUGGCAGCAGUGGGGAAUAUUGCACAAUGGGGGAAACCCUGAUGCAGCGACGCCGCGUGAGUGAAGAAGUAAUUCGUUAUGUAAAGCUCUAUCAGCGGGGAAGAAAAUGACGGUACCUGAGUAAGAAGCCCCGGCUAACUACGUGCCAGCAGCCGCGGUAAUACGUAGGGGGCAAGCGUUAUCCGGAUUUACUGGGGGUAAAGGGAGCGUAGACGGCAGUGCAAGUCUGGGGUGAACGGCGGGGGCUCAACCCCCGGACUGCUCUGGAAACUGGACGGCUGGAGUGCAGGAGAGGUAAGUGGAAUUCCUAGUGUAGCGGUGAAAUGCGUAGAGAUUAGGAGGAACACCAGUUGCGAAGGCGGCUCUCUGGACUGUAACUGACACUGAGGCACGAAAGCGUGGGGAGCAAACAGGAUUAGAUACCCUAGUAGUC
rnacentral:rRNA from 1 species